UCAAAGCAUUUUGUGACCUACAAAAACAGAGUGGAUUAGGUUGGAAUUCAGUGGAGAUGAGAUUUGAUGCACCCCAACAUGUUUGGGCUAAAUUCAAGAGGAUGGAAUAAAAGU